rnacentral:rRNA from 1 species
UACGGGGGGGGCAAGCGUUGUCCGGAUUUAUUGGGCGUAAAGAGCUCGUAGGCGGUUCGAUAAGUCGGACGUGAAAUCUCCACGCUCAACGUGGAGGGGCCGUUCGAUACUGUCGUGACUCGAGUCCGGUAGGGGAGUGUGGAAUUCCCGGUGUAGCGGUGAAAUGCGCAGAGAUCGGGAGGAACACCCGUAGCGAAGGCGGCACUCUGGGCCGGUACUGACGCUGAGGAGCGAAAGCGUGGGGAGCAAACAGG